CCUACGGGAGGCUGCAGUGGGGAAUAUUGGACAAUGGGCGAAAGCCUGAUCCAGCCAUGCCGCGUGUGUGAAGAAGGCCUUCGGGUUGUAAAGCACUUUCAGUGGGGAAGAAAGCCUUGGGGCUAAUACCCUCGAGGAAGGACAUCACCCACAGAAGAAGCACCGGCUAACUCCGUGCCAGCAGCCGCGGUAAUACGGAGGGUGCGAGCGGUAAUCGGAAUUACUGGGCGUAAAGCGCGCGUAGGCGGUCUGAUAAGCCGGUUGUGAAAGCCCCGGGCUCAACCUGGGAACGGCAUCCGGAACUGUCAGGCUAGAGUGCAGGAGAGGAAGGUAGAAUUCCCGGUGUAGCGGUGAAAUGCGUAGAGAUCGGGAGGAAUACCAGUGGCGAAGGCGGCCUUCUGGACUGACACUGACGCUGAGGUGCGAAAGCGUGGGUAGCAAACAGGAUUAGAUACCCCUGUAGUC
rnacentral:rRNA from 1 species